GCGGGUGUGGCGGAAUUGGCAGACGCGUAAGAUUCAGGUUCUUAUGAUCGCAAGGUUGUGCAGGUUCAAGUCCUGUCACCCGCACCA
rnacentral:tRNA from 1 species